CCUACGGGGCGCAGCAGUGGGGGAUAUUGCACAAUGGGGGGAACCCUGAUGCAGCGACGCCGCGUGAGUGAAGAAGUAUUUCGGUAUGUAAAGCUCUAUCAGCAGGGAAGAAGAAAGACGGUACCUGAGUAAGAAGCCCCGGCUAACUACGUGCCAGCAGCCGCGGUAAUGCGUAGGGGGCAAGCGUUAUCCGGAUUUACUGGGUGUAAAGGGAGCGUAGACGGCAGCGCAAGUCUGGAGUGAAAUGCCGGGGCCCAACCCCGGAACUGCUUUGGAACCUGUGCAGCUCGAGCGCAGGAGAGGUA
rnacentral:rRNA from 1 species